UAACUCUGCGUUUCAAAAAAAUAAAUCUGAAAAAAAACUUGGUCCACUGGGCAGCUCGCCCUCUCCCAGGUCUGACCGUUCCUUUAAGUGCCUGCCUCGCCCCGAGCGCACUGCAGUGAGUUCUCCCUGCAGCUCUCUAGUUGGUUCCUGUCAGCAGCUGGGGAGGCUUGCUUCUGAGCCUGGAGCGGUGGGCCGGACUUGCGCCGAAUCGGCGGCUAGCUGAGCCCGCUCCUCGGGGUGAGGCCCUCCUCAGGAAGCUGACAUGCCGUGAAUCAGGACGGGGCGUGUGGGGACACAAAGUGAUCCCAUCCCGUGGGAGCUCUGGGGACCGCCCCUCCACUCCUUUUGAGCGGCUCUUUCCCCGGCUGUCUCCUGGGUUUGUCUCACACACUGGAGGGGGAGCUGCGAGUCCAGGCCCCUGGCUCUGUAGCCCUGCGGAGGACAGCCGCCUCGGCCUCUCGGGAGCCGGUGGGCUCUGCGGGCCUGCCUGUGCUGCAGCCUGGAUCCUGCCUCUCGCUGCGGCUGGUGCCGUCAGGGUGUGCCCUGCCUCGGGUCCCAGCUCAGGGAUUGCUGGCCCGCACUGAUGUUCCCAGUUGUUCUUCCGUCCUGAGUGAGUCUCCAUGACACGGGGCAGCGAGACUGCAGCGGCUGCGAGCGAACGGGUGGUGACGCCGGCUCCCAGCAAGCUCGCGCUGCACCAGCUCCCAGCGACUCUGUCGGUGGUGGGUGCGGCACCUCCGAAGGUCAGCGCCUCCUGCCAGGACCCAAGUGAGGAUAGCACCUGGUCAGCCAAGGGCUGGCGAGGGCGGGGCCGCUGCCCUGCCUCAGUGGCCCCACAGUGAUUCCAGCAGACUCUGGACGAUGGAGAGCAGGCCUGACCGGGCCACCUAAGCCUGCCUCUCUGGCUUUGGGUUGACCAGAGGACCCAGCCAGAUGCAUCCCAGCCUCUGGGUGCCAUUGCUGCUCCUGCCGGAGGCCUGGGAGUGGCAGGAGCUGGAGGAGGCUGCUGCUGUCCACGGUGAGGGGCCCCGCGCACAGUGAGAGUGAGUUCGUCUGCAUCCUGCGUUGACAGAUCCCCAGGCCCCAGGACUGCCGGCCCCUGUGCUGAUGGAUCCCCCUAGGUCCCAGGACUGCUGGCCCCUGUGCUGACGGAUCCCCAGGCCCCAGGACUGCCGGCCCUUGCGCUGACGGAUCCCCAGGCCCCAGGACUGCUGGCCCCUGUGCUGACGCAUCCGCUGGCCCCUGCCAUCGGAGCCUGUGUGAGCUGCUCCUUUAGCCCUCAGCUCGCUGCCUCCUCCUGCCAGGCCUGGGCGCUGGAGGCCUAGGAGUCUGACCUGUGGCAGAAGCCAGCCUUCAUGCGUUCCUCGGAGAAGAUGGAGUCACCCCCCACGGGCUCUUACACCUCUCUGACACUCACCUGCACCCAGCGCCUGCUGGGCCUCGGACCUUGUUCUAGCCGCUGCCUCCUGAGCCCAGCUCUCAGGGUCCGGUGGGAGAUCCGCAGCAGAGUGUGCGUCAGACGAGCGCCGUGGUGAGAAGGGGGAGGAGAAAGCAAGAUGCAGACAGCAGUGGGAUGCACUGUGCUGCUUUAAAGUGGGCGUUCAGGAGGCAGCAUUGGGCCGAGGCUCGUGGGAGGGGUCGCGCCGUGCAGGUGGCAGGGGGCUCUGGGGGGGAACAGUGCAGAGACCCUGAGGCAGGAGCCUGUUUGGCAAACCUGGUGAAAUCGUCUCCGUGGAAUGCCCCAUGGCUGGUCCUGGGCAGGAGACGGCAGUGACAGCUCGGCUCCCUCGGUCCUGGCUGGGCACGUGGGCAGUGAGCCAGUGGAUAGACGAUCCGUUGCCCUCUCUCUUCCACACUCUGUGCCUUUCUCUCUCUCUCUCUCUCUUUUAAGAUUUAUCGAUUUUACUUGAAAGUCACAGUUACGCAGAGAGAGGAAAGGCAGAGAGAGAGGUCCUCCACCCACUGGUUCACUCCCCAGAUGGCCACAAUGGCCGGAGCUGUGCCGAUCCAAAGCCAGGAGCCAGGAGCUUCUUCUGGGUCUCCCACAUGGUUGCAGGGGUCCAACGACUUGGGCCAUCUUCCACUGCUUUCCUGGGUCACAGCAGAGAGCUGGAUUGGAAGUGGAGCAGCUGGGUCUCGAACUGGCGCCAUAUGGAAUGCCGGCACUGCAGGCGGUGGCUUUACCUGCUACACCACUACACCGGCCCCACACUCUGUGCCUUUCAAACAAAAUGAAAAUAAAUAAGUAAACAUCUGAAAUAAAGUGUGUGGGGGCCAGUGUCAUGGUGCAGUGGGUAGAACCACCACCUGCAAUGCUGGCAUUCCACAUGGAUGCUGAUUCGUGUCCAGGCUGCUCUACUUUGAUCCAACUCCCUGGGCCUGGGAAAGCAGCGGAGGAUGGCCCAAAUGUUUGGGUCUCUGCACUCACAUGGGAACCUGGAGGAAGCUCCCGGUGUGGCCUGGCCCAGGCCUGGCUGUUGCAGCAUUCAGGGGAGUGAACCAGGAGAUAGGAAAUCUCUCUGUGUCUCUUCUCUCUCUGUAAAUCAAACUUUUAAAAUAAUAUGCAAAUCUUUAAAAAAAUAAAAUUUGUUUAAAAUGGCAUUAAAAGUUGAGUUUAUUGUGUAGAAUAAUUUUGAAAUCUGUGCCUUUUUUUAUAAUACACAUUUUUCAUGAACUUUUAUAAGAUCCCCAUAUGCAUGGUUUUCAGAAAGUUUUUUGCACCAAAAUAAAUUUAUCAUUUAUUUGCAUUGUCCUCCAGCUGUUUGAAGUCCCUUCUUACUGCUGGGAGAUGUGCACUCCGCCUGUGCUAGGCAGGCUAGCCCGGCCGCUUGUGCAGCUC